rnacentral:rRNA from 1 species
UUAAGCGACUAAGCGUACACGGUGGAUGCCCUGGCAGUCAGAGGCGAUGAAGGACGUGCUAAUCUGCGAUAAGCGUCGGUGAGGUGAUAUGAACCGUUAUAACCGGCGAUUUCCGAAUGGGGAAACCCAGUGUGUUUCGACACACUAUCAUUAACUGAAUCCAUAGGUUAAUGAGGCGAACCGGGGGAACUGAAACAUCUAAGUACCCCGAGGAAAAGAAAUCAACCGAGAUUCCCCCAGUAGCGGCGAGCGAACGGGGAGGAGCCCAGAGCCUGAAUCAGUGUGUGUGUUAGUGGAAGCGUCUGGAAAGGCGCGCGAUACAGGGUGACAGCCCCGUACACAAAAAUGCACAUACUGUGAGCUCGAUGAGUAGGGCGGGACACGUGGUAUCCUGUCUGAAUAUGGGGGGACCAUCCUCCAAGGCUAAAUACUCCUGACUGACCGAUAGUGAACCAGUACCGUGAGGGAAAGGCGAAAAGAACCCCGGCGAGGGGAGUGAAAAAGAACCUGAAACCGUGUACGUACAAGCAGUGGGAGCCUCUUAAUGGGGUGACUGCGUACCUUUUGUAUAAUGGGUCAGCGACUUAUAUUCUGUAGCAAGGUUAACCGAAUAGGGGAGCCGAAGGGAAACCGAGUCUUAACUGGGCGUUAAGUUGCAGGGUAUAGACCCGAAACCCGGUGAUCUAGCUAUGGGCAGGUUGAAGGUUGGGUAACACUAACUGGAGGACCGAACCGACUAAUGUUGAAAAAUUAGCGGAUGACUUGUGGCUGGGGGUGAAAGGCCAAUCAAACCGGGAGAUAGCUGGUUCUCCCCGAAAGCUAUUUAGGUAGCGCCUCGUGAAUUCAUCUCCGGGGGUAGAGCACUGUUUCGGCAAGGGGGUCAUCCCGACUUACCAACCCGAUGCAAACUGCGAAUACCGGAGAAUGUUAUCACGGGAGACACACGGCGGGUGCUAACGUCCGUCGUGAAGAGGGAAACAACCCAGACCGCCAGCUAAGGUCCCAAAGUCAUGGUUAAGUGGGAAACGAUGUGGGAAGGCCCAGACAGCCAGGAUGUUGGCUUAGAAGCAGCCAUCAUUUAAAGAAAGCGUAAUAGCUCACUGGUCGAGUCGGCCUGCGCGGAAGAUGUAACGGGGCUAAACCAUGCACCGAAGCUGCGGCAGCGACGCUUAUGCGUUGUUGGGUAGGGGAGCGUUCUGUAAGCCUGUGAAGGUGGCCUGUGAGGGUUGCUGGAGGUAUCAGAAGUGCGAAUGCUGACAUAAGUAACGAUAAAGCGGGUGAAAAGCCCGCUCGCCGGAAGACCAAGGGUUCCUGUCCAACGUUAAUCGGGGCAGGGUGAGUCGACCCCUAAGGCGAGGCCGAAAGGCGUAGUCGAUGGGAAACAGGUUAAUAUUCCUGUACUUGGUGUUACUGCGAAGGGGGGACGGAGAAGGCUAUGUUGGCCGGGCGACGGUUGUCCCGGUUUAAGCGUGUAGGCUGGUUUUCCAGGCAAAUCCGGAAAAUCAAGGCUGAGGCGUGAUGACGAGGCACUACGGUGCUGAAGCGACAAAUGCCCUGCUUCCAGGAAAAGCCUCUAAGCAUCAGGUAACAUUAAAUCGUACCCCAAACCGACACAGGUGGUCAGGUAGAGAAUACCAAGGCGCUUGAGAGAACUCGGGUGAAGGAACUAGGCAAAAUGGUGCCGUAACUUCGGGAGAAGGCACGCUGAUAUGUAGGUGAAGCGACUUGCUCGUGGAGCUGAAAUCAGUCGAAGAUACCAGCUGGCUGCAACUGUUUAUUAAAAACACAGCACUGUGCAAACACGAAAGUGGACGUAUACGGUGUGACGCCUGCCCGGUGCCGGAAGGUUAAUUGAUGGGGUUAGCGGUAACGCGAAGCUCUUGAUCGAAGCCCCGGUAAACGGCGGCCGUAACUAUAACGGUCCUAAGGUAGCGAAAUUCCUUGUCGGGUAAGUUCCGACCUGCACGAAUGGCGUAAUGAUGGCCAGGCUGUCUCCACCCGAGACUCAGUGAAAUUGAACUCGCUGUGAAGAUGCAGUGUACCCGCGGCAAGACGGAAAGACCCCGUGAACCUUUACUAUAGCUUGACACUGAACAUUGAGCCUUGAUGUGUAGGAUAGGUGGGAGGCUUUGAAGUGUGGACGCCAGUCUGCAUGGAGCCGACCUUGAAAUACCACCCUUUAAUGUUUGAUGUUCUAACGUGGGCCCCUUACCGGGGUUGCGGACAGUGUCUGGUGGGUAGUUUGACUGGGGCGGUCUCCUCCUAAAGAGUAACGGAGGAGCACGAAGGUUGGCUAAUCCUGGUCGGACAUCAGGAGGUUAGUGCAAUGGCAUAAGCCAGCUUGACUGCGAGCGUGACGGCGCGAGCAGGUGCGAAAGCAGGUCAUAGUGAUCCGGUGGUUCUGAAUGGAAGGGCCAUCGCUCAACGGAUAAAAGGUACUCCGGGGAUAACAGGCUGAUACCGCCCAAGAGUUCAUAUCGACGGCGGUGUUUGGCACCUCGAUGUCGGCUCAUCACAUCCUGGGGCUGAAGUAGGUCCCAAGGGUAUGGCUGUUCGCCAUUUAAAGUGGUACGCGAGCUGGGUUUAGAACGUCGUGAGACAGUUCGGUCCCUAUCUGCCGUGGGCGCUGGAGAACUGAGGGGGGCUGCUCCUAGUACGAGAGGACCGGAGUGGACGCAUCACUGGUGUUCGGGUUGUCAUGCCAAUGGCACUGCCCGGUAGCUAAAUGCGGAAGAGAUAAGUGCUGAAAGCAUCUAAGCACGAAACU